GUGAGGAAUAUUGGUCAAUGGGCGAGAGCCUGAACCAGCCAAGUCGCGUGAAGGAAGAAGGAUCUAUGGUUCGUAAACUUCUUUUGCAGGGGAAUAAAGUGCGGGACGUGUCCUGUUUUGUAUGUACCCUGAGAAUAAGGAUCGGCUAACUCCGUGCCAGCAGCCGCGGUAAUACGGAGGAUCCGAGCGUUAUCCGGAUUUAUUGGGUUUAAAGGGUGCGUAGGUGGUUUGAUAAGUCAGCGGUGAAAGUUUGCAGCUUAACUGUAAAAAUGCCGUUGAAACUGUCGGACUUGAGUGUGAAUGAGGUAGGCGGAAUGCGUGGUGUAGCGGUGAAAUGCAUAGAUAUCACGCAGAACUCCGAUUGCGAAGGCAGCUUACUAAGCUACAACUGACACUGAAGCACGAAAGCGUGGGGAUCAAACAGGAUUAGAAACCCGUGUAGUCC
rnacentral:rRNA from 1 species